GACGAACGCUGGCGGCGUGCUUAACACAUGCAAGUCGAACGGAAAGGCCCUGCGCUUGUGGGGUGCACGAGUGGCGAACGGGUGAGUAACACGCGAGUAAACCGCCCCUGACUUUGGGAUAACUUCAGGAAAAUGGGGCUAAUACAGGAUAGGAGCUCCUGCUGCAUGGGGGGGGAUGGAAAGAGUCGGCGGUUGGGGCUGGAUUAGCGGCUUAUCGGCUUGAUGGUGGGGUAGUGGCUUACCAAGGCUUUGAAGGGUAGGCGGCCUGGGAGGGUGGCCGGCGACAAUGCGCCUGCGGUACGGCGCAGUCUCCUACGUGACGCAGCGGUCGGGAGUAUUGCGCAGCGGGCGCACGCCUGUUGCAGCGACGUCGCGUUCGUGAUGCCGUCUUUCGGGUUGUAAACCGCUUUCGCCUUUGCCGUAGCCUUAUUGACGGUAAUGGGUAAGGAAGCACCGGCUAACUACGUG
rnacentral:rRNA from 1 species